rnacentral:rRNA from 1 species
CCUACGGGAGGCAGCAGUGAGGAAUAUUGGUCAAUGGGCGCGAGCCUGACCCAGCAAAGUAGCGUGAAGGAUGACUGCCCUACGGGUUGUAAACUUCUUUUAUAAAGGAGUAAAGUGAGGCACGUGUGCCUUCUUGUCUGUACUUUAUGAAUACGGAUCGGCUAACUACGUGCCAGCAGCCGCGGUAAUACGGAGGAUCCGAGCGUUAUCCGGAUUUAUUGGGUUUAACGGGAGCGUAGAUGGGUUGUUAAGUCAGUUGUGAAAGUUUGCGGCUCAACCGUAAAAUUGCAAUUGAUACUGGCAGUCUUGAGUGCAGUUGAGGUAGGUGGAAUUCGUGGUGUAGCGGUGAAAUGCGUAGAUAUCACGAAGAACACCGAUUGCGAAGGCAGCUUACUAAACUGCCACUGACAUUGAUGCUCGAAAGCGUGGGUAUCAAACAGGAUUAGAUACCCGGGUAGUC